CAACGUGCUUCGCGGCCUCGGGGGAAUCACCGAUUAGGCAAUCGCGGUUUGAGGGCGGCGAGUGCGGUGACCUCGUCGGUGUGUUGCAGCCCUUGCAGUUGCUUUGUGUCUCCGAUCAAUUAUCUGUUUUCAGUUUAGUUCGACACUCCACGACUCCAUGACUCUGUGGCCAAUGGUCGCCAGUCUCUUCAUGUCUUGCUUGCACAAAGGCCCUAAAAAUUAUUGAGACGAC